rnacentral:lncRNA from 1 species
UUAAGGGGCCGUAGUUCUUUUACAAAGAGGGGUGGAGGUUCGGGCGGAGGUUGUUGUUGGUUUUUUUUUUUUUUUUGAAUGAAUGGAGGGCGGCGGCGACUGCUGCAGCUGGUUCAGCUGCGCGGGCUUUACCCCCUCCCAGCCUGCAAGAGGAGGGCCUGCCAGAUUGCCAAGAUGUCGGGCCCAUCCUGCCUCCCUGACUUGGAGGCACACUGUCCACGCUCUUGCCUUACAAACAGCCCAGAGAG